rnacentral:rRNA from 1 species
AACGAACGCUGGCGGCAUGCCUAACACAUGCCAGUCGAACGAGACCUUCGGGUCUAGUGGCGCACGGGUGCGUAACACGUGGGAAUCUGCCCUUUGCUUCGGAAUAACAAUUAGAAAUGACUGCUAAUACCGGAUGAUGUCGAAAGACCAAAGAUUUAUCGGCAAAGGAUGAGCCCGCGUAGGAUUAGGUAGUUGGUGGGGUAAAGGCCUACCAAGCCGACGAUCCUUAGCUGGUCUGAGAGGAUGAUCAGCCACACUGGGACUGAGACACGGCCCAGACUCCUACGGGAGGCAGCAGUGGGGAAUAUUGGACAAUGGGCGAAAGCCUGAUCCAGCAAUGCCGCGUGAGUGAUGAAGGCCUUAGGGUUGUAAAGCUCUUUUACCAGGGAUGAUAAUGACAGUACCUGGAGAAUAAGCGCCGGCUAACUCCGUG